GGCGAGCGAAGGGAAUUGAACCCUCGAAUACCGGAAUCACAACCCGGUGCCUUAACCACUUGGCUACGCACGC
rnacentral:tRNA from 1 species